rnacentral:lncRNA from 1 species
CAAAUGGGUAGGUACACAAUAAAGGGGUACCAAAGAAGAACCCUUUAAUUGAAGUGGCUGGCUGCGGAAUCCAGGAAACCAGAAAUCAUGGGAUGAGAUGGGUAGGGGAGGGAGGGGAAGGUGGCGGGGGAGUCAAAACUCCUAUACACACACCACUCACCCUAUAAUCUUGAAUUGGCAGGGGCAGUCGUAUAAAUACGCUGGUGUCAUUGGCUAUUCCAUACAGUUAAAGAGGUCUCGUGAUCCGAGUUUUUUUUAUUGUUUUUGUAUUUGUAAUUAUCUUUGGCACAUUUCAAGAAAAAAGCAGCAUUGUCCAUUUCUCCAAAAUAACAACAUGAGUGAUGAGCCACAGCACUCAGAGAGAGGGAGAGAGAGAGGGGCACCCUAUAAUCUUGAAUGGGCAGGGACAGUCAUAUAAAUACGCUGGUGUCAUUGGCUAUUCCAUACAGUUAAAGAGGUCUCGUGAUCCGAGUUUAUUUUAUUGUUUUUGUAUUUGUAAUUAUCUUCGGCACAUUUCAAGAAAAAAGCAACAUUGUCCAUUGCUCCAAAAUAACAACAUGAGUGAUGAGCCACAGCACUCAGAGACAGGGAGAGGGGCUCAUCUUCAAAUCUUGAUGUAUCAUCUUUCACAAUUUUUUACUGUUUUCACCUGGAACUGAGAAAAGUCACCGUGGUUUUUGGUCUUCAGUCACUAUAUAUGGUGUAAGAAAGAGAGAGAGAGAGAGAGAGAGAGAGAGAGAGCUAUGCAAGGGUCUAUUGUAUAUAUUAGAUAGCUAAGUAUAUAGGCUGCCAUGGCACACGUCGACCAAAGAGUCAUGAAUGGCCGCGUAGGGGAUGAGCUAAAACUGCUAAAAGAUUUGAUUUUGAUAAUGGGUAUUAAUCCAUGUACAAGCCCAGACAGCAGUCUAACUCUAAGCCCAUGCCCCCACACAGUUGUUUUGCAACUAGGAGUAGUAGUAGUACAGCGGUGAGAGUAACCCCACUAUAAAUAAGGCUCAACCCCCACUUCCUCGCACUCAUGUUACUUCCUUGGUAACAACAGCAGGAGUUGUAAGACCACAGUGCCAGUUUUGCAGGCGCCGUUUCCCUUUUCUUGCACUCUUACUGCUUCCUCUAUCCCUCUCCAUUUUCCUCUUUUGCUCCCUCUAACCUUGAAUUUCUUAUGAUGUCUUCAACUCUCUGCUGCUCUUUAUAACCAUUCCUGACCCCCUCCAACCUCCAUCUCAAAAGAGUAUAAAAAUGAAAAUGGUGAAUAUUUUCUUCUUUGGUGCCUAUUUUUGAAUUCUCUCAUGAGGUUAAUCUUUGGGGAUUUCUUGGUGUUUGCAGGUUGGUUUUGGUUGUGAUAUUCCUCACUGGCUUGAAAUUCUUCUGGGGGAGAAGUUCUUUAACGCGUGUGUGGUUCAUGAGUGCGCUAAGAAGAACGAGAAGAACAUCUUUUGCUUGGACUGUUGCACCAGCAUCUGCCCCCACUGUUUGCUCCCUCACCGCCAUCACCGCCUUCUACAGGUGCACCCCUAACUGCACAACUCAACAUCUCCGCUUUUAGUUUGUAAAGAUCACUACAGAUUUUGGACUUGCUAGCCCGAAAUUCUCGUUUUUUUUACGUUUCAGAUACGGAGGUACGUUUAUCACGACGUUAUACGGUUGGAUGAUGCUCAAGAGCUGAUGGAUUGUUCUCUUGUUCAAGUAAGUUUGAACCUUCAUACCCUAAAAGGAAAGAAGGGUUCCCCUCUCUCAACUCUCAAUUGUGUAACUUGAUUUUUCAGUCAUACACAACAAACAGUGCAAAAGUGGUGUUUUUGAACCAAAGGCCUAUGUCUCGGCCCUUUAGAGGGUCCGGCAACCUCUGCUACACCUGCGAACGAAGCUUGCAAGACCCAUAUCUCUUCUGCUCUCUCGCAUGCAAGGUUUGAUUUGCCUUGAAAUUUAUCAUUAACCUUCGUUUUCUCCAUCUGGGUACCUCUGGUUUCACCAGUUUUCGCUGUUACAGGUUCAUCACACGAUGAACGUCAAAGGUAGUGCCACAAAACACCUCCACAACUUUGAAUUCCUUCCAUUACCUGAUAGAGCACGAGGCGAGGCCUUUUCCGAGCUCGACGACCGCCAAAUGACCCCAGAAUCCGUCCUCGACUCCCCUGUUUCUCUCCGAACUUCGUCUGGCUCGAGCUCCACCGGCGGUGCCUUGAGUUGCAGAGCGCUGGCCUGCACUGCCACCACCGAGUUCGUGAAGAAAAAGCGCAGCAGCGUCUCUGUACCUCGGUCCCCUUUCCGUCCGAUCUUCUCACCGGCGUCAGACAACGCCGGUGGAAUAAACAGGAGAAAGGGUGUCCCUCACCGAUCGCCGCUGCACUGAACCUGAGGGAUUUGGGGAUGCGUUUGGUAAUUUUGCGUUUUAUUGGGGUGUUUUAUGAAUGGUCAAUUAGGGAUGGAGAAAGGAGAAUUACUAAAAUCCCGAUUUUGUAGAGCAAAUAUUGUUUCUCAUAGGUACCUAUUUAAUUCAUAUUUACGGAAUGGCACUUCACGUUACAUUUUCGACACAAGAUCAUCCCUAUUUGCAUAGACUAGUCAAUUUACUAAAUGAUAAAAUUGGCUACUGUUUCUUCCUUACCGAUAAGUUUCUUUUAACAUGGAAGCUUCCAUAUAUUUACAUGUUAAUUAUAAUCGUUUAAAUACCAAUUUCCAAAAAUGGAUUCAUUUCACAAACACUCAGAUUUUGAAAAUAGAGAACAUGGAUGCUGUAAGCCUGUAACCAUCCAAACAAUUCAAAAAUAAACAUGUUGCUAAUCUUCAUUUCUCCAAAAAACAGAAAGUCUCCUCAAAGCCACUUCCAUUUUGGUCAAAAAGUGACUAAAAUUUCUGCAAUAAAUGGUAGAAAAUGGAAAUUCGGGGCCGUAAGAAGAGAAGAGACUGAUAAAAAGGAUUUGUCAUUUGUGAAUGUGAGCAGCAGUACUACAGCUGUUUGCAAGCUGGGAACAGAGGGAGUAGAAGGGGGACCAGAGAGGAGGCUAAUCUCAAAGGCACUUGUGGGGGUGAUGGGGAGCCUCAGGUUGGAUUGGGAAAUGGUACCCCAAAAUCAACACAAUGAAGCACAAGGGCAUGUCCCACAAACCUAAGAGAACAACACUCGAAAUGGAAAAUCUGAGAGCUAUUCAUCUCUAUCGUUUCUUACCAGUUAUGCCUGCAUGCAACAUGACAAUGUGAAAAACAAUAUUAAUUUCAUACUGUCUCUUCUCUCUGCUGCCUCCACUGUUUUAUACCUGCCAUUAUUCUCUUUUGUGAGCAAUAUCGCCUUAGUGGUUUGCACCCAUGUAAAUGUUUUCGUACUGACUGCGACCAUACCUUCAAAUUUAAAUGUUUUCAUGAGAGUCGGUGACACUGGGCUUUGAUGCGCUUCAUUCCUUCACCUAUGCUUCUACUUCUACUGUUCGACAUUCACUCCUUGCCUCUCAUUUGCUAAUAAUAGCCUUUGUUUUUUUAACCUUUCCCCUUCUUUUGCUCUUUUAAACAGGAUUAAUAUUUUGAAUAGAAAAGGUAUACAGCUGUAGCGACUGCUUCUGCCCAGAACAUGUUUGGAAGCCCUUUUCCUUUUAAAAAACUUUUUGCCAUUUCAACGAUGGUCCUAUUCUUGCGCUCUGCUACACCAUUUUGUUGAGGGGUGUAGCUAGCUGUUAAUUGACGCUUAAUUCCAUUCAUCUUCAAAAAAUGAAAAAUGAAUUCGAUGUGAACUCACCACCGGCUAUAUUAGACUAUAAGCAGUUCGAAGGACCUUCCAAUUAUGACCAAUAUGUUUUUCUACAAAAGCUUUGAAUUGAAGAAAAACAGGAAAUGCAUCUUCUUUGUUUUUAAUAAAAUAUACCCCUAGUGAAAUCAUCAACAAAGAUGAGAACUACUCAACAUUAUAUUAUUGCAUAAGUAAAAAAAAUCAGUUCAUUUUGCCUCUUCAAACCGAAAAAAAGUGUCUUUUUUCCAUUAUAAUUCAGCUAUUAAAUGCAACUUUACUAAGAAGCACCAGUGGUCUAGUGGUAGAAUAGUACCCUGCCACGGUACUCACUUUACUUAAAAGAAAGUCCUUCUGAGCUUCCAACACCAAGUUCUCAUCUUCCCAUUCAUCGCGAUAUCUCUGGUCGGACCUUCUUGUUGUCGAGAGUUUUUUUCUUAUUUAUAUUUAAAUAUUACAAGGGUGAAAUGGACUCUAAGUUUGGAUCACUUUACUUCUUUUAUUUAUAUUUAAAUAUUACAAAGGUGAAAUGGAAUCCAAGCUUGGAUCACUUUACUUAAGAAAGUCCUUCUGAGCUUCCAUCACCAAGUCCUCGUCUUCCCAUUCAUCACGAUAUGUCUCUGGUUGGAGUUGUUGACGAAAACUGCAUGAUACAUUUUCUUUCUCCAUUCUUCAAGUCUUGGAAGCCCACACGCAGCAGCAACCCAAUCAAUGUACUCGAACUGCAAAAUUGCAAUCAAAAUUCAUAAACUCCAUAGCUUUAAUAGAGAGGUAUUAGACAUCACCCCCCUGAUCAUACGCAUCCAAAAACCAUCUCUGGCCUAUCUGAUUAUUAAUUCCAUUUACCUCAUAAUCACCAAUUUUAUGAGUAUAUCACAUAGGCGUCCCAUAAGCUUCGAGCGACAAGUAAAAGGCUUCAACAUCCUUCAUCAUCUCCUCAUGUGAUGGGAGUCCAAUCCGACCAGAUAGAACGCCUGCUAUCCAUUGGCUUUGCAAUUCAAACACUGCGAAAAGGGGAGCCUGCCACCAAUCAAAAGCAAAGGUUCACUACUAUCUUCGGCGAUUCUGAACAAAAGAUCUGAUAAAAACAAAAGUUAGAAAUGAACCAUCCAUGGUAACCCAACAAAGGAAAGCCCUGGAGCCAAAGCUGGUGGAAAAAUGUGCUUGUAUAAUGGCCCCACACGAUUAUCAUCCACAGUUACGAUGCCAUUGGUAUCAAGAAAAGGGAAAUAAUACUCGUAUCUGAAAAAGGUCACACAACUGGGAAUGAAUUACCGUGCUAUUGAUUCCAGUGUUCUACUUUAUGAUUCAGUGCGAGCUAGCUUUGUGGAGUAGAAGUGAAACAAAUUGGAGCAUACCCCGUGCAGUGCAUAAUCACAUCAGCAAGAACCCCGCUUCCAUCCUGAAAUAUCACUGUACCAUCUCUGUGGACACUUUCGACCUGCAUCGUUCUGUUUAGUAUUAGCAUUUUCAAUCAACCAUCUUCUACAUUAGGAGUCAAACAAUUCCCUUGAUGGAAUUCUAUAGAUCGCCUUAUACCAGAGAGAAAACACUUUUACCAUAGGAUGAAGCCACAUAUUAUCAUAGCCAGGCUACUUUCCCAAUAUACUGUCAUCUACCGAUCUAGACGCAACAUGAACUUCUUUGGCAACUUGAGCAAUGUCCCUAGAGAUAUCAUCGGCACUAAAAGCAUUCCCUAUCAAAAUUACAACCUGUCCAUUGCAGGACAUAGUAAGGUAAAACCCCCCAUAGAUAAAACAACCAAUUUAUUUGUAGGUAAAACUACAUAUACAAUCAAUUUGGUAUUCUAUUUCAGGUCUAUGCAAAAUUAAACUUAGAAUUUAAGGGGGGAGAGAUGGGACAGAUGUAUUCUGUGGCAGUUGAAACUCUAACCAUAUAAGAAUUCCCAAAACCAGCAAUAUCAUAGGAUGCUGCACUAGUAUUCAACAUAGAAGUAUGGAAACAUUAAGAGAAGUAGAAAGCUGACACAUACUUGAUCUCGGAAGGGCUCAGGAAUACGAUAAUUGUGGCUAUGCAUUUGCUUCCCCGGCCAUGCAUCAAUGCCUAAGAAUACAGAAGAGAAAAAAAAUAGUAAGGCCAAAAAUUUUGCAGAACUAUGUUAGCAUUUUUUAACAUGAAGAAUGAUCUUGCAAACGCCUUCCAGUUAACACUUUUAAGUUAUGUGAAAAUUUAUCCAUCAGAUGUUCCAAUUUCCAAAAGCCUGGUGGCCGUGAAUCUUCUCCUCACCAUAUGAUGGCUGUAGAUCUCCUGAUUCAAGGGCCACUAAUCAAUUCAAUGCAAUUCAGAAGUCGUGAGAAAGACCAGAUUACUGUCCUAAAUGGAAUGGGACUACUUACCAUCCAGCAAAACCAACUCUCAACCUCUACUUACCAUCUAACGUAAACCCGAAACACCCAAGGCUUGAUCACGCUUCAGUCCCUUUCAUGACGGAAAUGAAAUCCAAACAUAAUAGGUCACAAAUGUGCAAUGCCCCUUGCAGUAUAGUCCUCAAUGCACCUAACCCAUCAGAGUACAAUAACUGAACUUUAAAAGCAUCUAAAUUUUGGUUGGAGGUAAGGAACACCCUUCAAUAUAUUUAGUUCCUGGGUUUAUGGGAUCAUCCAUCUUAGAUCUUUGGGCUGGCUCAACAGGUAAAGUGCACCAGCCCAACUUAAGUUUGGGUAAAUGCGUAAUUUAAUUAUUUAAGGAAAUAAAAUUUUGAAUUAUUUAAAUACGAUAAAGACUUUAAUUUGUUUGAAGUGCCUAGAUUUGAACUUGCUAAACAAAGAUUUGCAUGGUAGUUUUAAAAAAUAAUUUAUAAAAUACUGAGGUGAAGAAAAUAUUUUCAAAAUUAUUGUAGUUUUUGUCAAUUAGAAAAAAAAAGAAUUAUCGCAUAACUUUAUUAAAGCCAAAAUUAUCUCUUUAAGAGAUUAUUUUUAAAAAUCUAAAAUAAAUCCAAAAUCAUCUCCUAAAAAUUAUAAAAAAAAUUAUUUAUUUUUUAAAAAUAAAUUAAUACACUAAGAAAACGAUAUAGAUUUAUUUUUUAAAAACUUAAAUAAAAUAAAAUUGAUAACUAAUAGAUUUAUUUUUUGAAAAUUCAAAUAAAAUAAAAUCCAUAAUUCAUUUAAAACUUUUUAAUAGUUUCAAGUUUUUAAACAUUUUUUUUAGCAAGUUAACUAUAAUAUAAUAUAAUUUUAUUUUAAAAAUUAAUAUGAUCACUUAUAAGAAAAUUAGAAAUUUAUCUAUCCCUAUUAUUUUAAAUUAAUUUUAAAUAAUUCUGAUUAAAAAUUAUUACUUUAAAAAAAUGUUAAGAAGUAACUGAAAGUGGAAGGAAUACAAAAGAAAUAAAUAAAGUUUAAAAAUUAAAAUAUGAGAACUAUAAAAUUAAAUUAAUUUUUGUUUUUUUAUAAUAACUAAUAAAAUUAAUUGAAAGAUAAAUAUCAGAAUAUUUAUUUUAAUCACUACCUAAUUUAAUAUAAAAUUAUAUAUAUUUUUUAAUAUAAGAUGGUAAACAUAAUUUAUACUUUUAUAAUUAUGAUAAUUAUGGAUGAUAUAUCAAGUAUAAAAUAUUAUUUUAUAUUAUUCAAUUAGGUAGUGAUUAAAAUAAAUAUUAAAUAAUGAAAGGGAAGAAUUACCGUGAAUUUCGGCGAUACGGGGCUCAGUGUGAUGCCCAUUGCAGACAACCACAGCAUCAAAAAUCUCGUCGACUUCCUCAUCAUUUCCCCUUCUGGAUCUCAACCUCCACUUCCCAUCCGCACCCAGCCCUGUAUAAACCACCUCCACGGUUCCACCUCGAAGCGGAUCAAAUCAGUGACUCCAAACUCGGUGGUGAAAUCAUUGAUAUAAUGCAAAACCUCUCGAUGACCCGGGAACCUUCUCGAGUCCCUAUGGGCUAAACCCGGGGACAGGAAGGGGUAGUCUCGAAACCCCAUGACUUCUCUGGGGAGGUUGGUGCGGAGAGACGGGUAGAGGCUGGAGUGGACGAUGGUUCGAGAUGGGUCGGACGCGAGUGGGUCUGCUUCCACGCUGGGUUGGUACUCCCAGGUGCCACCCACUUGGGCUUGGCGCUCGAACACAACGGCCUUGUGGCCUUCCCGACGGAGUUCCCGGGCUGCAACUAAGCCCCCUGGGCCAGCUCCAAUAACGGCUACGUUACAUGAUUUCAAUGCGGAAAUUGAGGAUGACAUGGUUCAGUUUUCUACGACAGCAACAAAGAGGGCCUGAAGAGAAAGACAGCUAAUUACAGGACGAGUUGUUUUGACGGAGUAUGGGGCAAAAUAGCCUAUUUUAUAGAAGAAAAAAAAGAUAUAAUGUUUAAUGGAAUUUAUGUUCAAAUUAGGCACAGUCAUGUCAUAAAAAAUAUUUUAAAAAAAAUAAUAAUUUAAAGUCUCAAUUACAUACUUCAUUUUAAAUUAAAUCGUAAAUAACCAAUUGAAGCUUUAUUUUUUAAUUGAAGCUAUCAAUUAUAUUGAAAUGCACAUAAUUAGAAAGGAUGGCAAAAAAGAGUGUACUAUUAUUUUAAUAAAGAUAAAGUUUUUAAAAUAGAGAUAAAUUAAUACCUUAAAAAUAAAAUAAAAUAAAAAUUUUAAAUUAAUAAAAUUUAUCAUUUUAUUUUUUAUUUAUAUGUCAUAUAAUUUUAUUAUUUUAAAAUUAUAAAUAAAUAAAUUUUUUUAUUUAUUAUUAUAUUUAUCAAUUUAUUUUUAUUGAAAUAAUAUUACAUUCUUAAAUUUAAAUAUAUAUAUUUUAUUAUUAUUAAAAUAUAUAUUUUAAAUUUUAAUAAUAAUUUAUAAUUUAAUCUUUUUAAUUAAAUUUUAAAAUAAAAAAAAUAAUUGAAACCUUAAUUGAUAAUUAUAACUUUAGCUAAAAAAUAAAGUUUUAAUUAACAAUUAAAAUUAAGUCUCAAUUAUCAAUUAUAGUUUUAAUUCAAUUAAAAAAUGAAACUUCAAUUAACAAUUAAAAUUAAGUCUUAAUUAUCAAUUAUAGUUUUAAUUCAAUAACUAACUGUGACUUUACUUAAAAACUGAAGUCUCAUUUUAAUAAUUAAGGUUUCAACUUCAAUUUUUUUUUUUUUAAAUUAUUUUUUAUGACAUGCUUCUGCGGGCCAAGGAUUAGGUGAACAUAAGUUUUGCCAAAAGGGCAUGAAAAGGACUAUUUUGCCCCCCAAACUGAACGAGGAAAAGUGCGUCUAAAGUCUGGCAGAAUGCAAAGACGCUGAAUUUGACGGUUUGUACUAGGAAGUCAAUGACUUGGGUGCUACGAUAUCUCCAUUCACCUUCGUUCCAGGCUCCUUGGUACAAAAAGGUCAAAAAAAAAAAAAAAAUUCUUGACUUGCCUUCGCAUGUUUUGGAGGAAAAAGACAGAAAAUAAUAAUGCAAGAGGAAAAGGUAGGGGCCACGAGGGGGAAAAAUGGCAAAAUCGGGCCCUAGUAGGCAAGGAGGGAAGAAAAAUAAAAAGCAGUUCACAUAGUGUGGACCCCGCAUUUUGGCUUAUGUGUUUUCCACUCGAUGGCGAACUCCAUUUUUAUUUUAAAAUGAUUUUAUUUAUUAAAAAAUGACUUGGAGUCGCCACUUAUUUUUGUUUUAUUUUAAAAGGGUAAACAAAAUAAGAAAUAAAACCCUAAGUGCGACUCAUUAUUUUGGAAAAGGUGGUUUGUGAAAAAUCGGAUUGGGUUCGGGGGUCAGGUUACUUAUCGGGAAGGUACGGUAAAGACCGUAGCACCCCCUAAGUUCCUAAAGUCGGGUCUCUACUAAUACAAUGAAGCUUACAUGACAAUUGAUGAGUAAAUUAACUAAUACCCUAAAUGAUCAUGCACAUGUGAGAAUCAGAACAUGCAUAGAUAAUGGUCAGAGUGAAAGUGGGUGUGUACUUGAGCAACGAGCCACUAUGCGCUAUCAAGAAAUAGGGUUAGUGCACAAUUAAUGAAUACAAAAUAUAACAUGUGCGUCACUAAACAGAUAAAGAACCAUUUGUGGACCCCGCAUUUCCGCUCAUGUGUUUCCCACUCGAUGGCGAGCUCGAUUUUUUUUAUUUUGAAAAAAUGAUUUAAUUGGUUAAAAAAAAUGACUUGGAGUCGCCACUUAUUUUUGUUUUAUUUUUAAAGGAUAAACAAAAUAAGAAAGAAAAAACCCUAAGUGUGACUCCUUAUUUUGAAAAAGGUGAUCUAUAAAAAACCGGAUCGGGUUCGGGGGUCAGGUUACUUAUCGGGAAGGUACGGUAAAGACCAUAGCACCCCUCUAAGUCCCUAAAGUCGGGUCUCUACUAAUGAGAUGAAGCUAACAUGGCCAUCAACGAGAAAAUCAAUAAAUACUCAAAUCAAUCAUGCACAUACGAGUAUCAAAACAUGCGUAUAGCAAGACCAGAAUAAGAACAGAUGCGUACCUGGGCAACGAUCUUCAAUGCGCUAUCAAGAAGUGAGAUUAGUGCACAAGUAAGGAAUAGUAACAUGCAUAUCAUAGAGCAGAAUAAAUCAUGUAUGGCAACCGAAUCAACAAUCAAUCCAUCAAUCAUAGAAUCUCAUAUGUUGGGCCCCCACCAAAGCCCGUUUAUUUUGGCAUGGAUUAAUUUCGUAAAUUCCAUUAAUUGGAAUUACAAAAUUUAAUCCUUGCUUAUUUUAAAACAUUUUAAAAAUCAUAGAAGAUGUGAAAAUGAGGCUCACCAGGAAGAAAAUGGCGGCAAAUUUCAUUAGAAAAAUGGAAUUUUGGAUGAAGGAACAUGUGGAGUUGAGAUUAUUUAAAAAGACCAAAAAUCCAAAAGGUUAUUUGAACAAAGGGAUUUAGAAAAUUAUUUUCAAAACUAAGAAUGGUGAAAUGAGAGAAGUAAAAGGAGGUGCCAUGUGGCCACUAAGAUUUGCAUGCCGAAUGUGGCCAUGCAAAGAAAAUUCCCUUCUGAGUCUGUUUGAAAAUCCGAGUCAACUUUCUGAAUUUGUGGCCUCUCAACAAUCCUUGACUCACCCUGUGCAGUUCAUCACUAAGAAUAGCAGCUUAUGACUCAAUACAUUCAUCAGACCCAGCCAAUCCAUCUUUACUCUGGCAUAAUUCUGCAUUUGUGUUUGAUGCCAUAUUCACCCGCAAUUUCAGCUUUGUGUAGGUUCCAUCCUUCAACAGAUACCCCAAAGCCUGAUACUCCAGCAUGAGAUGACCCAUUUCUGUGGCCUAAAGUCUGUCUUCUAUCUUCUUCUGGUCAGCACAUAUGUCAACAUGGAAAACCAAAUUGAUGACGUCUUCAAUCUUUCUCAAACCCCUCCUAAAAUUCCACUUUAGCUUCUCCAGGAUACGACUUCUGAAAGAUAUAGCAAUUACCGGCACCAGAAAUCCAUUCACAAUCAGCAAGGGACAUCCAUAAACCCACAUAACUCAUGCCAGACCUUUUGAUACUGCAAGACAAUAAAGUCCAUAGGUGAUGGCAAGAACACCGACAUCUGAAUUUGUAAAACCUAGAACUCCAAGUGCAUUGAGAUCGAGAAGCUAUGUGGAGAUUGGCAUCUGAGCAACCUGACUUGCAGACUGUAGUAGGACAGCAGCCUGACCCAUGGCUUGUGGUGAGGCACCAGCAUUGUCACUUAUGGGGCCGUACGCAUCAAUGGCAAGCUCGGUGGCGAUAGUGCUGAGCAUUCCCAGAGCUGCCACUGUAAUUCCAUGCAUGGUAGCCAUGCUGAAACUCACGUAGAUAGCAAUGGCAAUGGCAAUGGCAAUGGCAAAGAUCGGAAUGAUGACAGAUUUGUAUCCCAGAGCCAACCUGAAAAUCACAUUUGUUGCAGCACUAAUAAUUCCUUCUCCUUCUUCUUCAAGAUUGCUAGCAUGCUUUCCUCUGAAUUAAGAUGGUGGAGCUCAUUAAAGAGGGUGAUGGGGUAGCAUUACCAUCUCAAACUACAGCUAAUAUUGGGAAUGAUAAUUGGUGGCAAGAGGGAGAAAAGAAGUGGAUCUCCUGAUUUCCCUUCAACAUUAACAGGUAAAUUUGCCAAAAAUCCAGAAACUUUCUUCUCUGACAAUAUAUCUGCCGAUGCUGAAGAAGAAUGCGACACCUUACCAGGUCCUUCGUUUCCAUUUGUACUGUAGGAUGAAGAGAAAGCAACCAUGUCAUCAACAACCCUAUUCAUGUCUGCUUCGUGCCAAGCCCACUUAUUAUCAUCAAAACUAAGGGAUGGAUUUCUAUGGUAUGGUAACAGAGGGUGAUAAAUGGGGAGAGAGGUAUAAUUAUGGGCAUGCAAGGGUAAGGACAUGCAUGGACAAGUGGCCACACACGUGGUGUAAGGAGAGAAGGGUGGAAAAGAAUAGGUAAAUGGGGUGUUGAGAAGUGGUGAAGAAAAGACAAGAGGGCCAGGAGAGUGCUCAAAUGAGGAAUAGGGUUGUCAAUUUUAACCCCCUUUGACUGGUGAUGGCAGAUUUGGAGUUCUAGUUGAGAGGGAAGGAAUGUAGCUGAAACCCAAUUUUUCCUAUUACCACUCAGCAACUUAUACCCUGAAUAAUCCCUGUAACAUCACUUACAGCAAUCACAGCACUAAUGCACCUGACCAAGCAAUGGAUAUUGUUGUUGAAGCCACCAGUGUCAACAUUGGAGGCAAUAGAGCUCCAUAUAUUAGAUGUCAUGAAGGCAGCAAAUAAAUACGGUAACAAACUCCAAGAACCAUCAUUUGCACCUCCAACUUCUUCUAAAAUCAUUCUCACCCACUCAGAAUCAUGAUCACUAACUAAAUUAACACUGUUUGCCACCACCCUCAUCCUCCUUAUUUCCUUCUUUUCAGGUAUUUCAUCGGGUAAAUGCUUAACAAUCCCAGCUGAUAAUGAAUAUAUUAGGGGCACACCUUCUUCAAGAGCAGCUCCAGCAGCUUCUACCAGUAGUUGAUCCAAGGCCAGUGCUCACCCUGCCUGAAUACAGAACCUAAUUAUUGUGUUCAUAUCCACUAUCUGCCUCAAAUACGACUCCUUCUCUGUAUGAUCACAAGAAUGCAUGACUGCAGCAACUGCCUCUAGCACCUCACGGUUUGACCUCAAUGAUGUGUCAAUGCAAUUUAAAAGUGCAGCUGUACGUUCUUUCAUCAUUCUGUCUAGCCUGUCCACUCCAUAGCCACCAAAAAUACGAACAUAAGAUUACAACUCUCUAAGAUCAGUAACUGAUUCGGCGAAGUAUCCACUAUCCACCCACAGGCCUCGUACUCUUGAAGCAUUUGUGGACUGGUGCAAAAAGGAUUCCAGCACCUGAUAUAUCCUUUUCAAUGUUCUCAAUGUACUAGUAGCAAACCACUUUAGUUGCUGAUCCAGUAUUUAGAUCAGCUGGUUUCUCUAACAAAUGCAAAGAAGAAACUGGCCCUGAAAAGGUCUUCGAGAGAAAACUUCUCUGAUUCCCCGGGUUAGGUCCAUGCUAAUGAUCAAACCUUCUAUCCAUGUUCAGGGAACCCACUACAGUGUGCUUUAGAAGGUUCCCUUCCCGAAUCACCAUAUAAUAACUGAGGCAGAGC